GACGAACGCUGGCGGCGUGCUUAACACAUGCAAGUCGAACGGAAAGGCCCUGCUUUUGUGGGGUGCUCGAGUGGCGAACGGGUGAGUAACACGUGAGUAACCUGCCCUUGAUUUUGGUAUAACUUCAGGAAACUGGGGCUAAUACCGUAUAGGAGCUCCUGCUGCAUGGUGGGGGUUGGAAAGUUUCGGCGGUAGGGGAUGGAUUCGCGGCUUAUCAGCUUGUUGGUGGGGUAGUGGCUUACCAAGGCUUUGACGGGUAGCCGGCAUGAGAGGGUGACCGGGGACAUUGGGACUGAGAGACGGACCAGACUCCUACGGGAGGCAGCAGUGGGGAAUAUUGCACAAUGGGAGGGAGCCUGAUGCAGAGACGCCGCGUGCGGGAUGACGGCCUUCGGGUUGUAAACCGCUUUCGCCUGUGACGAAGCGUGAGUGACGGUAAUGGGUGAAGAAGCACCGGCUAACUACGUG
rnacentral:rRNA from 1 species